CAGCAGCCACGGGAAUACGAAGGGUGCAAGCGUUAAUCGGAAUUACUGGGCGUAAAGCGUGCGUAGGCGGUUUGUUAAGUCUGCUGUGAAAUCCCCGGGCUCAACCUGGGAAUGGCAGUGGAUACUGGCAAGCUAGAGUGUGUCAGAGGAUGGUGGAAUUCCCGGUGUAGCGGUGAAAUGCGUAGAGAUCGGGAGGAACAUCAGUGGCGAAGGCGGCCAUCUGGGACAACACUGACGCUGAGGCACGAAAGCGUGGGGAGCAAACAGGAUUAGAUACCCCCGUAGUCCCUGUCUCUUAUAC
rnacentral:rRNA from 1 species